GAGUUUGAUCGUGGCUCAGAUUGAACGCUGGCGGCAUGCCUUACACAUGCAAGUCGAACGGCAGCACGGGAGCUUGCUCCUGGUGGCGAGUGGCGAACGGGUGAGUAAUGCAUCGGAACGUAUCCUGGAGUGGGGGAUAACGUAGCGAAAGUUACGCUAAUACCGCAUAUUCUGUGAGCAGGAAAGCGGGGGACCCUCGGGCCUCGCGCUCUUGGAGCGGCCGAUGUCGGACUAGCUAGUUGGUGAGGUAAAGGCUCACCAAGGCGACGAUCCGUAGCAGGUCUGAGAGGAUGAUCUGCCACACUGGAACUGAGACACGGUCCAGACUCCUACGGGAGGCAGCAGUGGGGAAUUUUGGACAAUGGGGGCAACCCUGAUCCAGCCAUGCCGCGUGAGUGAAGAAGGCCUCGG
rnacentral:rRNA from 1 species